GACGAACGCUGGCGGCGUGCUUAACACAUGCAAGUCGAACGGAUCACCUUUGCUUCGGUUUUGGUGGUUAGUGGCGAACGGGUGAGUAACACGUGAGCAACCUGCCCUUCACUGGGGAAUAACUGUGGGAAACUUCAGCUAAUACCGCAUGUACACCUUCUAUCGCAUGGUGGUUGGUGGAAAGUUUUUUCGGUGGGGGAUGGGCUCGCGGCCUAUCAGCUUGUUGGUGGGGUAAUGGCCUACCAAGGCUUUGACGGGUAGCCGGCCUGAGAGGGCGACCGGCCACACUGGGACUGAGAUACGGCCCAGACUCCUACGGGAGGCAGCAGUGGGGAAUAUUGCACAAUGGACGGAAGUCUGAUGCAGCAACGCCGCGUGCGGGAUGACGGCCUUCGGGUUGUAAACCGCUUUCACCAGGGGCGAAUUUGACGGUACCUGGAGAAGAAGCACCGGCUAACUACGUGCCAGCCGCCGCGGUAAAAC
rnacentral:rRNA from 1 species